rnacentral:rRNA from 1 species
GACGAACGCUGGCGGCGUGCUUAACACAUGCAAGUCGAACGGAAAGGCCCUGCUUUUGUGGGGUGCUCGAGUGGGGAACGGGUGAGUAACACGUGAGUAACCUGCCCUUGACUUUGGGAUAACUUCAGGAAACUGGGGCUAAUACCGGAUAGGAGCUCCUGCUGCAUGGUGGGGGUUGGAAAGUUUCGGCGGUUGGGGAUGGACUCGCGGCUUAUCAGCUUGUUGGUGGGGUAGUGGCUUACGAAGGCUUUGACGGGUAGCCGGCCUGGGAGGGUGACCGGCCACAUGGGGACUGAGAUACGGCGCAGACUCCUACGGGAGGCAGCAGUGGGGAAUAUUGCACAAUGGGGGGAAGCCUGAUGCGGCAACGCCGCGUGCGGGAUGACGGCCUUCGGGUUGUAAACCGCUUUCGCCUGUGACGAAGCGUGAGUGACGGUAAUGGGUAAAGAAGCACCGGCUAACUACGUG